rnacentral:rRNA from 1 species
AGCGAACGCUGGCGGUAGGCCUAACACAUGCAAGUCGAACGGCAGCACAGUAAGAGCUUGCUCUUACGGGUGGCGAGUGGCGGACGGGUGAGGAAUACAGCGGAAUCUACUUUUUCGUGGGGGAUAACGUAGGGAAACUUACGCUAAUACCGCAUACGACCUACGGGUGAAAGCAGGGGAUCUUCGGACCUUGCGCGACUGAAUGAGCCGAUGUCGGAUUAGCUAGUUGGCGGGGUAAAGGCCGACCAAGGCGACGAUCCGUAGCUGGUCUGAGAGGAUGAUCCGCCACACUGGAACUGAGACACGGUCCAGGCUCCUACGGGAGGCAGCAGUGGGGAAUAUUGGCCAAUGGGCGCAAGCCUGCUCCAGCCAUACCGCGUGGGUGCAGCAGGCCUUCGGGUUGUAAAGCCCUUUUGUUGGGAAAGAAAAGCAGCAGGUUAAUACCCCGCUGUUCUGACGGUACCCAAAGAAUAAGCACCGGCUAACUUCGUG